AUAUUUAUUUGGUGUGAUCAUAUAGGUGGAGGUUCCCAGGAUCAGCUGUAUUCAUUGUAUUCUGACUAUGCAGUUUCCCCAAAUAUGGGAAGCUCAACUGCAUAAUUUGUAGUAGUGGGGAAGUGUGUUCCCAUUAUUCUCCA
rnacentral:snRNA from 1 species